UACGUAGGGUGCAAGCGUUGUCCGGAAUUAUUGGGCGUAAAGAGCUCAUAGGCGGUUUGUCGCGUCUGCUGUGAAAACUCGGGGCUUAACUCCGGGCCUGCAGUGGGUACGGGCAGACUAGAGUGCGGUAGGGGAGACUGGAAUUCCUGGUGUAGCGGUGGAAUGCGCAGAUAUCAGGAGGAACACCGGUGGCGAAGGCGGGUCUCUGGGCAGUAACUGACGCUGAGGAGCGAAAGCGUGGGGAGCGAACAGG
rnacentral:rRNA from 1 species